rnacentral:rRNA from 1 species
UGGCUCAGGAUGAACGCUAGCGACAGGCUAACACAUGCAAGUCGAGGGGCAGCAUAGAAGUAGCAAUACUUGGUGGCGACCGGCGCACGGGUGAGUAACGCGUAUGCAACCUACCUAUCGAGAGGGGAAUAACCCGGCGAAAGUCGGACUAAUACCGCAUAAAACAGGGGCACCGCAUGGUGAUAUUUGUUAAAGAAAUUCGCUGAUAGAUGGGCAUGCGUUCCAUUAGGUAGUUGGUGAGGUAACGGCUCACCAAGCCGACGAUGGAUAGGGGAACUGAGAGGUUGGUCCCCCACACUGGUACUGGGACACGGACCAGACUCCUACGGGAGGCAGCAGUGAGGAAUAUUGGUCAAUGGGCGGGAGCCUGAACCAGCCAAGUCGCCGUGAAGGAAGAAGGAUCUAUGGUUCGUAAACUUCUUUUGCAGGGGAAUAAAGUGCAGGACGUGUCCUGUUUUGUAUGUACCCUGAGAAUAAGGAUCGGCUAACUCCGUGCCAGCCGCCGC